UUUCCCUCAGGAUAGUUGGCGCUUGCCAGUCAAGCAGUUUUAUCUAGUAUAGCCAAUGACUAGAGGGCUUGGGGCCAAAACGGAUUCAACCUAUUGUCAAACUUUAAAUGAGUAGGAGGCCCGGCCCGCUGUAACUGGACAUGGAACGUGAUACAUCUAGUGGGCUAUUUUUCGUAAGCAGAACUGGUGCUGCGGGAUAAACUA
rfam:Danio rerio chromosome 14, GRCz11 reference primary assembly.